rnacentral:misc_RNA from 1 species
GUAUAUAUUUUAUAGGCACAACAUUCUAUUGACAUACAUUGGGGUAAAUGAAGCAACAUAGACCUGAAAGGUCUACAAAAGGUGCACAGGUGGAGAUAUAAAGAUGACAAGGCGUGCACAUGCUCCCUAGAGAACCAGCAACAACCCAUCAGGUUUAUUUCAAUAAUGAUCCUUCCGCAGGUUCACCUACGGAAA